rnacentral:rRNA from 1 species
UGAGUACAGUAGAGGUGGGCGGAAUUCGUGGUGUAGCGGUGAAAUGCUUAGAUAUCACGAAGAACUCCGAUUGCGAAGGCAGCUCACUGGACUGCAACUGACGCUGAGGCUCGAAAGCGUGGGUAGCAAACAGGAUUAGAUACCCUGGUAGUCCACGCCGUAAACGAUGAUUACUAGGUGUGGGGGGACUGACCCCUUCCGUGCCGGAGUAAACACAAUAAGUAAUCCACCUGGGGAGUACGACCGCAAGGUUGAAACUCAAAGGAAUUGACGGGGGCCCGCACAAGCAGUGGAGUAUGUGGUUUAAUUCGAAGCAACGCGAAGAACCUUACCAGGUCUUGACAUCCUUUGCAUAACCUAGAGAUAGGCGAAAUCCUUCGGGACAAAGUGACAGGUGGUGCAUGGUUGUCGUCAGCUCGUGUCGUGAGAUGUUGGGUUAAGUCCCGCAACGAGCGCAACCCUUAUGUUUAGUUGCUACGCAAGAGCACUCUAGACAGACUGCCGUUGACAAAACGGAGGAAGGUGGGGAUGACGUCAAAUCAUCAUGCCCCUUAUGACCUGGGCUACACACGUACUACAAUGGCCGUUAACAGAGGGAAGCAAAGCCGCGAGGCGGAGCAAACCCCUAAAAACGGUCCCAGUUCGGAUUGUAGGCUGCAACCCGCCUACAUGAAGUUGGAAUUGCUAGUAAUCGCGGAUCAGCAUGCCGCGGUGAAUACGUUCCCGGGCCUUGUACACACCGCCCGUCACACCAUGGGAGCCGGUAAUACCCGAAGUCANNNGCCUAACCGCAAGGAGGGCGCUGCCGAAGGUAGGAUUGGCGACUGGGGUGAAGUCGUAACAAGGUAACCGUA